rnacentral:rRNA from 1 species
ACCCGCUGAACUUAAGCAUAUCAGUCAGGGCAGGACGAGAAAAUAACAAUGAUUCUCACAGUAACUGCGAGUGAAGUGAGAAGAGCCCAACGUUAAAAGCCGUAUCCCUCACAAGAUACUGCGUUGUAACGUAUAGAUGUGCUCUCAAGGUGGAAGCUUACGUCAAAGUUACAUAGAGUGGUACGCCAUAGAGGGUGAGAGCCCCGUGUGAGACGUAUGCAUGAAUUGCACCAAGUAGACACAAUCUAAGGGUCGUGUUGUUUGGGAAUGCAACACAAAGCAGGUGGUAAACUUCACCUAAGGCUAAAUACUGACACGAGACCGAUAGCGAACAAGUACCGUGAGGGAAAGUUGAAAAGUACCCUGAAAAGAGAGUGAAAAUCACGUGAAACCGUUCAUGGGGAAGCAGACGGUAGAAUCGAAGCACGCCGCUGAUUGCAUGCUUGUGUCCAUCCGAGUGGGUGGUCUCGAGUGUGUUGCUCAGUGGUGUAGCGCGCUGAGCUUGUCGUGCUUUGCAUGUGAGUGCAGCACAUGUACGCCGACUCUGUCAGUUUGAUAACCCAGGUGCUGAAUGAUCGGUGCUACAAGUUGUCGAAUGGUGGAGAUCGCUAUAGGUACAUAGCAUGACAAUGGCCAAUAUGAAAGGCGACGCGCGGAAGUGAUUUUGCAGUGUUCGGGCGGACCAGUUGUUGAACUAGGGAUGUUUGUGCGCUGUUUGAUUGGCAAGCGUGUCCACUCUCAGCGAGAUAUGCUGCUGUCUGACCCGUCUUGAAACACGGACCAAGGAGGCUAACGUAUACGCGAGUCAAGGGGAAACGCGGACGCGUUGCUGUUUUGAAACCCUAUGGCGCAACGAAAGUGAAUAGUGACAUCUCCACGCGAGAGUUGAUUGGUGGAGAGCAUCGCUGGCCAGUCGAGUCCAUUGGGACUAUGAUUGAGUAGGAGCGUAUGCGAUAGGACCCGAAAGAUGGUGAACUAUGCCUGAGUAGGGCAAAGUCAGAGGAAACUCUGAUGGAGGCUCGCAGCGGUUCUGACGUGCAAUUCGAUCGUCAAACUUGGGUAUAGGGGCGAAAGACUAAUCGAACCAUCUAGUAGCUGGUUCCCUCCGAAAUAUCCCUCAGGAUAGCUGGAGCCUGAACCAAGAGCAGUUUCAUCGGGUAGAGCGAAUGAUUAUAGGCAUUGGGGUCUUAACAGACUCUAACCUCUUCUCAAACUGCGAACCGGUGAGAAGGGUUGCGUUGCUUGUGUGAACGCAACUCGCGAAUGCUAGGGCUCCAAGUGGGCCGUUUCUGGUAAGCAGAACUGGCGAUGCGGGAUGAACCGAGAGCCAGGUUAAGGUGCCUAAAUAGACGCCAAAGGACACCAAUAAAGGAGUUGGUCGAUGAAGACAGCAGGACGGUGGCCCUGGAAGUAGGAAUCCGCUAAGGAGUGUCUAACAACUCACCUGCCGAAUCGACUGGCCCUGAAGAUGGAUGGCGCUUAAGCGUUUUACCGAUACCUGGCCAUCAGCAUUAGUAGUUGUGUGAUGCAUGCUGAUGGGUAGGAGGGCGCAAUGAUAGCGGCGAAGAGUAUAGCGUGAGCUUGCUUGGAGCUGUCAUUGGUGCGGAUCUUGGUGGUAGUAGCAGUUUAUUCAAGUGAAACGCUUGAAGGCCGAAGUGGAGAAGGGUUCCGCGCAAACAUCAUUUGAACGCGGGUUAGUCGGUCCUAAGUGGCAGCUUACGUGCUGAUGUAUACAAAGGAGAAGUGCGUUGUGCUCCAACUCUCGGGUAACACCGUGCUGAGGGGUGCUUCGUUCUCUCAAGCCACGAAAGGGAAUCAGGUUAAUAAUCCUGAACCAGUCCACGGAUAGUCUGUGCCCUGCUUUUAUUGUGCGGCCCGUUUUGCGGGUUCGUCUUUACUAGUGGUGUAUAGAUGCAGCGGUAACGCAAACGAACUCAGAGACAUCUUAGCAGUCCUAGGAAGAGUUAUCUUUUCUGUUUAACGAAAUGACGCCCUGGAAUUGAGUUGUUCAGAGAUAGGGCUGAGAUUUCGGAAGAGCAUCGCGCUUUUGGCGAUGUCUGGUGCGCUGUCUAAGGUCCUUGAAAAUCUGAGGGAGUGAAUGAUUUUCGUGCCUGGCCGUACCGUAAUCCGCAACAGGUCUCCAAGGUGAAUAGCCUCUGGCACUAGAACAAUGUGGGUAAGGGAAGUCGGCAAAAUAGAUUCGUAACUUCGGGAUAAGGAUUGGCUCUAAGGGUUGGGCCUGUCGGGCUAGUCACUUAUUGCUAUGUGCGUUGCCUUUUGAGUCCGGUGGUUGGGAUCACUCGUGGGUCCUUUACUGCUGGAUUUGAUUGGUGAUGUGCCAGCCUAAGUGUCUUGCUUGGUGCGGUUUGCAGUGUUGCUCACGCGAUGCUGUGCGCUUCAUCCUUGCGGCGAGCUAAGAUCAACCAACUUAGAACUGUCACUGACUAGGGGAAUCCGACUGUUUAAUUAAAACAAAGCAUUGCGAUGGCUGGAAACGGUGUUGACGCAAUGUGAUUUCUGCCCAGUGCUCUGAAUGUCAAAGUGUGGAGACACAACCAAGCGCGGGUAAACGGCGGGUGUAACUAUGACUCUCUCAAGAUAGCCAAAUGCCUCGUCAUCUAAUUAGUGACGCGCAUGAAUGGAUCAACGAGAUUCCCACUGUCCCUACCUUCCAUCUAGCGAACCCACAGUCAAGGGAACGGGCUUGACUGAGACAGCGGGGAAAGAAGACCCUGUUGAGCUUGACUCUAGUUUGAUAUGGUGAGGAGACAUGAGAGGUGUAGCAUAGGUGGGAGGUGUGCUAGCUUCGGUUGGUGCGCCGAUCUUGAAAUACCACCACUUUCAUUGUUUCCUCACUUAAUCGGUGAUAAGGGAAGUGCCCGAUAGAAGUGCUAACAUUAACACUGCGUGCCUCGGUCACUGGCCGAGUGUGUGUGGUGUCUUGGUGAGUAUGGACGUCGGUGUCACGAAUAUGAAGAUUUGCAAGGCGAAUGGUUCAUGAUGCGCUGCAUCGUGUUUCGGCGCGCUUGUAGUAGUCGUGGACAACUAGUGUUCGCUGACCCCAACUAUGCCAUUGCAGCGAUGUAGUGGUGUAUGUGUGACCGAUGACAGUGUCAGAUGGGGAGUUUGGCUGGGGCGGUACACCUUCUAAAGUGCAACAAAGGUGUCCAAAGGUGAGCUCACCGUGGACAGAAACCACGGGUAGAGUAUAAGGGCAAAAGCUCGCUUGAUUUUGAUUUUCAGUAUGAAUACAAACCACGAAAGUGUGGCCUAGCGAUCCUUUAUUAUGACCUGAAAGUUUCAGGAUAGAGGUGUCAGAAAAGUUACCACAGGGAUAACUGGCUUGUGGCUGCCAAGCGAACAUAGCGACGUAGCUUUUUGAUCCUUCGAUGUCGGCUCUUCCUAUCAUUGCGCAGCAGCAUACGCAAAGUGUCGGAUUGUUCACCCAUUAACAGGGAACGUGAGCUGGGUUUAGAC